AUUUAUGACAAAUGACAGAGACAAUAUAAAUUGGUCUGCAAAACCCGAAUAAGAAUUAAAUAAGAAUCAAUUUACUAUUAUUGAAUUGACAAAAAUAUUGUUAAUACUAUAGUUAAUUUGAAUUUAAGAGUUACUAUUCAGUUGCCGAUAUAUGUACAGUACAAAAUGGGAGUGUUUGUAGAUGUUAUCUUUCCAUUACUUUUGAUGAUGAUGCUUAUAUUUGGUAACCUGAUCGUUGUGUACUUGAUCUACAAAUUAAGAAAACGUCAAGGACUUUGGGGAGAGACGACUUAAAUAUAAUAACUACAGG